rnacentral:rRNA from 1 species
GCAGCUAUCAUGCAGUCGACGGCAGUUGAGUAGCAAUACUUGACCUAGAGUGACGUACGGGUGCGUAACACGUAUGCAACCUACCCAAAACAGGAGUAUAGCUCGGGGAAACUCGAAUUAACCCUCCAUAAGAUAGUAGAAGAGCAUUCUUCAGCUAUUAAAACUCAGGUGGUUUUGGAUGGGCAUGCGUUUGAUUAGCUAGUUGGUAGUGUAACGGACUACCAAGGCGAUGAUCAAUAGGGGAACUGAGAGGUUGAUCCCCCACACUGGCACUGAGAUACGGGCCAGACUCCUACGGGAGACAGCAGUAGGGAAUAUUGGUCAAUGGAUGCAAGUCUGAACCAGCCAUGCCGCGUGCAGGAAGAAGGCCUUCUGGGUUGUAAACUGCUUUUGUCAGGGGAUAAAAAAUUCCUUGCGAGGAAUAUUGAAGGUACCUGGCGAAUAAGCCACGGCUAACUACGUGCCAGCAGUCGCGGUAAUACGUAGGUGGCGAGCGUUGUCCGGAUUUAUUGGGUUUAAAGGGUGCGUAGGCGGUCCUAUAAGUCAGUGGUGAAAUAUCGCAGCUUAACUGUGAGGGUGCCAUUGAUACUGUAGGACUUGAGUGAAUUUGAGGUAGGCGGAAUUGACGGUGUAGCGGUGAAAUGCUUAGAUAUCGUCAAGAACACCGAUAGUGAAGACAGCUUACCAAGCUUCAACUGACGCUGAGGCACGAAAGUGUGGGGAUCAAACAGGAUUAGAUACCCUGGUAGUCCACACUGUAAACGUUGAUUACUCGCUGUUGGCGAUACACAGCCAGCNGGCUAAGCGCAAGCNAUAAGUAAUCCACCUGGGGGAGUACNCCCGGCAACGGUGAAACUCAAAGAAAUUUGACGGGGGGUCCGCACAAGCCGGUGGAACCAUGUGGGUUUAAAUUCCAAUGAUACCCCGAAGGAACCUUACCUUGGACUAAAAAAUGCCCCUUGAACCGAUCCAAAAAAUGGAUUUUUUCCCCCAGGGACAAAGGAACCAAGGGUGCUUGC